AAAAAAAAAAAGGGAGAGAAAGUCCAACUGGUAUAUUCUUACAUUCUUAAGAAUAUACCAGUUGGACUUUCUCUCCCUUUUUUUUUUU